ACACCUGAGAACCACUGCCUAGCUAUAGGGAACUGUUGAAAAUACACUCUUCCUCGUGUAACACUUGAGAAACUCUGAUUCAUUCUUCUCCCACCUCAUUGCUUCCUAGAUUCAAUGAAGAUUCAGGCCUGCAUUGAAAUCCCAGCUCACUCCUGAUUAGUCACCUGCCUCAGGAGGCUAUAGCCCUCAGGGGGCUCUUGUCCUGGACUGACUUUGAGAAACUGAGGAAAGCUAUGGACACUUCUCCCAGGUGAAGACCAUAAGAGAAAAAACGAAGUUUCCUAGAGAAGAAAUUCUGCUUCCAGACUGUAAUACAGAAAUUCUGCUGUUUCCAGCCUGCCAGCCUGCCUACAGAUUUCUGCCUUGUCAGCCCUUACAGUGAUAUGAGACAAUUCCUUUAACUUCUUGAUAGAUAUGUAGAUAGAUAGAUAAAUGGACAGACAGAUAUAGAUAAGAUAUGGAGGUAUAUAAACAUACACAUGCAUAUCUAUAUAUCAAUAAUCAUAGUCAUAAUCUAAGCAUAAUUAACUAGAUUUAGGUAUACAUUGGAUAAGGAGUUAAAGGAUAGUGUAUUAUAUCCUAGGUUUCUACUUAAACAACUGAGCAGAUAGUGAUUUUAUUUAUUGAAAUAGAGGCAACUGGGAAAAAAUAAGCAUUUGGGUGGUGAGGGUAGUGGGAAUUAGUUCCCUUUUGUCCAGGUUAAUUUUGUGAUAUCCAAGUAUAUACGUAAAGUUGUGAAUAUGUGAAUGUAGAGCUGAGUGGGUGGUUUAAGUUAAGAUAAAAUUAUAGGAUUGCCACAUAAAUAUGAUAUUUAGAGUUAAGGAACUUGAGGAGAAUUUCUAGUAGGAGAAUGAAAGAUGACUCAUGACCAAGUCCAGAGAGCCUAGGACCACAGUGUGAAGAGAACCAACAGUUAGAGCUCAGGUGGAAGUGGAAACACAGGAGUGAUGAGAGAAGGAAGAGGUAAAUGCGUGCUAUGGUGUCACAGACCUAGCAAGAGAACAGUCAAUAGUGUGGAAUGAUUCAGAUUUAUCUAGCAAGAUAAGGCUAGAAAAAAAAGCGUUACAUGGGAUUGGCAAAAUGGAUGUCAUUAAUGACCUCAGCAAGAGUAGUUUUUG
rnacentral:lncRNA from 1 species